rnacentral:lncRNA from 1 species
GGGGGGGGGGACACGGGGUCCGCCCCUCUAUAAAAGCAGCCAGGAUCAAAAGGCCCACAGGUCCUCCGUCUACCCCUACCCUGGUUCUUACUCUAUCUACUCCUCCUUUCCAACGAAGCCUUCCUUUCUAAGCUUGGCUCCUUUCACCCUUCCUGGGACUGAGUUUGCGAAUCCCGGUGAGCUGCUCGCCCGAGCAGAGCAGCAGUGCUCGGCCCCGGAUGCCACACACCUUUAUCGCGUCAGCUGAGAAACUCGGCCGGGAAGCGCAGCACCACGCAGGCAGUCACAAUGCGCUCCUGCACGCCUGCCGUCGCUCCUCUCUCUUUGGACAGCGGGGGAGAAGGAAAUCCGCCUGCAGGCAGCUGUGACGCCUUCACUCUGCCACCCAGGACGACUCUGGCAAGGGUCCCGAGGGAGCAGCCCCCAGGCAGGCGCCACGGACCAGACCCGAGUUCACCAGGGCACAGGGUGACCAGGGGCCAGAGCACAAGAUCGAGACCAAAACACUCCCGUUCUCCCGCCCCUCCCACUCCCACACCGCCAGGGCGCCCAGGACAGGCAGCGCUGUGCAGACACCGGCCUGCAGCCCUCAGCUCAAGAGCGCCCUCCCGGAAAUGACCCCGGCUUUGCUCCUCCCGCGCAAGGACACGCAGCCUCACAGCUCCCUCAACAGGUGUGAACAGGCGAACGGCCUUCAUCUGCGCUUGUCUUCAGUCCACCCUUCCCAACACUGCACCACCUACCUGAGGGCAAAGUUCCGAUUCAGAGACGAGGGAGGAGCAAGCACAAAGGACUUGGAUGUGACACACGAGUGCCAGCUCCGCACGACUAUUUCAAACAGAGCAAAGUACAGAAAACAGACCCCAGGAGGACCACCUGCAAAAUCUAACGGAUGCUCCCUGUCUGCCGCUGGCCUCCAUCUCGAUAGGAAGCAAAUCACUGCAGGCACCGCCAACUCUGGCCCAGCCCCGUCCUUCCGCAGAGGCAGCUUCCACCUGCAGGCUGUGUCUGGUCGCGGGCAGAC